GUAGCAUUGCUGAUGCAAGACCUUCCAGAACCCUUUUUCUCUUUGCCAUGGCAAUCAACAAUGUUCCAGAGAAUACAUGCUCUUUCAGUCUUGGUCUUGGAGGGAAGAUCAUGGAGAACAGAGUCCUAGCUGUGUGUUGAUGGACAUGUAAAGAUGGCCUAUGCCAAAGAGAAACUGUUCCUUCAGCCUGGAUUCUGGAAUAAAGAAGUUUGGAGCUGACCUUUCUGAACUUUGUUCUCCUCUUUUGUGAAGCAGGAAGAAAAUUAUCCACUUCCGAAAUUUGUUAUAACAAUUAAAAGAGGUGAUGUCAAUAAAAUAUUAAGCUCACAGUGCA